UACGGAGGAUGCGAGCGUUAUCCGGAUUCAUUGGGUUUAAAGGGUGCGUAGGCGGACUUAUAAGUCAGUGGUGAAAACCUGCAGCUUAACUGUAGACGUGCCAUUGAUACUGUUAGUCUUGAGUAUGGUCAAGGUAGGCGGAAUGUGUAAUGUAGCGGUGAAAUGCUUAGAUAUUACACAGAACACCGAUUGCGAAGGCAGCUUACUGGGCCAUUACUGACGCUGAUGCACGAAAGCGUGGGGAGCGAACAGG
rnacentral:rRNA from 1 species